GAUGAAGAACGUAGCGAAAUGCGAUACGUAAUGUGAAUUGCAGAAUUCAGUGAAUCAUCGAGUCUUUGAACGCACAUUGCGCCCCCUGGUAUUCCGGGGGGCAUGCCUGUCCGAGCGUCAUUGCUGCCUCAAGCACGGCUUGUGUGUUGGGCCUCCGUCCUCCUCCCGGGGGACGGGCCCGAAAGGCAGCGGCGGCACCGCGUCCGGUCCUCGAGCGUAUGGGGCUUCGUCACCCGCUCUUGUAGGCCCGGCCGGCGCUUGCCGACACAUCAAUCUUUUUUCCAGGUUGACCUCGGAUCAGGUAGGGAUACCCGCUGAACUUAAGCAUAUCAAUAAGCGGAGGA
rnacentral:misc_RNA from 1 species